AAAGAGAGAGGGAGAGAGUAGUGAUUAUUAUCCAAAACAUAAUUUAGUGAAAAUGGGAAAAAUGUGUUUCAUCCACAAAAUGAGAAAAAAAAAAUAAAAAAUAGGAAGAACAACAAUUAAUAACAUUAAAUGGUGGGUAGUUUUUGUUUUUGUUGUUAGUUAACAUUCUCGGUAGAUUUUAUGAAAUAGAUAAUGUGUUUAUACCAAAAAUGUGUUUUAUCCACAAUAUGAGAAAAAAAAAAAAAAAGAGGAAGAACAACAAUUAAUAACCUCAAAUUGUGGGCAGUUUUUUUUGUUAGUUAACAUUCUCG
rnacentral:lncRNA from 1 species